rnacentral:rRNA from 1 species
CCGAUGGAGGGGGAUAACUACUGGAAACGGUAGCUAAUACCGCAUAACGUCGCAAGACCAAAGAGGGGGACCUUCGGGCCUCUUGCCAUCGGAUGUGCCAGAUGGGAUUAGCUAGUAGGUGGGGUAACGGCUCACCUAGGCGACGAUCCCUAGCUGGUCUGAGAGGAUGACCAGCCACACUGGAACUGAGACACGGUCCAG